UACGAAGGGGGCUAGCGUUGCUCGGAAUCACUGGGCGUAAAGCGCACGUAGGCGGAUCUUUAAGUCAGGGGUGAAAUCCUGGAGCUCAACUCCAGAACUGCCUUCGAUACUGGCGAUCUCGAGUUCGGGAGAGGUGAGUGGAACUGCGAGUGUAGAGGUGAAAUUCGUAGAUAUUCGCAAGAACACCAGUGGCGAAGGCGGCUCACUGGCCCAUAACUGACGCUGAGGCACGAAAGCGUGGGGAGCAAACAGG
rnacentral:rRNA from 1 species